rnacentral:rRNA from 1 species
GACGAACGCUGGCGGCGUGCUUAACACAUGCAAGUCGAACGGAAAGGCCCUGCUUUUGUGGGGUGCUCGAGUGGCGAACGGGUGAGUAACACGUGAGUAACCUGCCCUUGACUUUGGGAUAACUUCAGGAAACUGGGGCUAAUACCGGAUAGGAGCUCCUGCUGCAUGGUGGGGGUUGGAAAGUUUCGGCGGUUGGGGAUGGACUCGCGGCUUAUCAGCUUGUUGGUGAGGUAGUGGCUUACCAAGGCUUUGACGGGUAGCCGGCCUGAGAGGGUGACCGGCCACAUUGGGACUGAGAUACGGCCCAGACCCCUACGGGAGGCAGCAGUGGGGAAUAUUGCACAAUGGGCGGAAGCCUGAUGCAGCAACGCCGCGUGCGGGAUGACGGCCUUCGGGUUGUAAACCGCUUUCGCCUGUGACGAAGCGUGAGUGACGGUAAUGGGUAAAGAAGCACCGGCUAACUACGUG